rnacentral:rRNA from 1 species
UACGGAGGAUCCGAGCGUUAUCCGGAUUUAUUGGGUUUAAAGGGUGCGUAGGCGGCCUUGUAAGUCAGGGGUGAAAGACGGUAGCUUAACUAUCGCAGUGCCUUUGAUACUGCAGGGCUUGAAUGUACUUGAGGUAGGCGGAAUGUGACAAGUAGCGGUGAAAUGCAUAGAUAUGUCACAGAACACCAAUUGCGAAGGCAGCUUACUAAAGUAUGAUUGACGCUGAGGCACGAAAGCAUGGGGAUCAAACAGG